rnacentral:rRNA from 1 species
UAGGGAAUAUUGGACAAUGGGGGGAACCCUGAUCCAGCCAUGCCGCGUGGAGGAAGACUGCCCUCUGGGUUGUAAACUCCUUUUAUAUGGGAAGAACCGUCCUCAUUGUUGAGUGACCUGACGGUACCAUAGGAAUAAGCACCGGCUAACUCCGUGCCAGCAGCCGCGGUAAUACGGAGGGUGCAAGCGUUAUCCGGAUUCACUGGGUUUAAAGGGUGCGUAGGCGGAUAUGUAAGUCAGUGGUGAAAUCAACGGGCUCAACCUGUUAACUGCCAUUGAUACUGUGUAUCUUGAAUAUGAGAGAGGUAGGCGGAAUGUUGCAUGUAGCGGUGAAAUGCUUAGAUAUGCUACGGAACACCGAUUGCGAAGGCAGCUUACUAUUUCGUAAUUGACGCUGAGGCACGAAAGCGUGGGUAGCGAACA